GAAAUGCGAUAAGUAAUGUGAAUUGCAGAAUUCAGUGAAUCAUCGAAUCUUUGAACGCACCUUGCGCUCCUUGGUAUUCCUUGGAGCAUGCCUGUUUGAGUAUCAUGAAAUCUUCAAAGUAAAUCUUUUGUUAACUCAAUUGGUUUCUACUUUGGUAUUGGAGGUCUUUGCAGCUUCACACCUGCUCCUCUUUGUUCAUUAGCUGGAUCUCAGUGUUAUGCUUGGUUCCACUCGGCGUGAUAAGUUAUCUAUCGCUGAGGACACUGUAAAAGGUGGCCAAGGUAAAUGCAGAUGAACCGCUUCUAAUAGUCCAUUGACUUGGACAAUACUUUUAUGAUCUGAUCUCAACUCAGGUAGGACUACCCGCUGAACUUACGC
rnacentral:misc_RNA from 1 species